UAGUACGGCGAGUGAGCGGCAACAGCUUCCAAAUUUUUGAAAGCUAGCCUUUCGGGUUUCGCAUUUGUAAUUUUGUAGAGGAUGAUUUUGGGGAAGCCGCCUGUCUAAGUUCCUUUGGAACAGGACGUCAUAGAGGGUGAGAAUCCCGUAUGUGACAGGAAAUGGCACCCUAUGUAAAUCUCCUUCGACGAGUCGAGUUGUUUGGGAAUGCAGCUCUAAAUGGGAGGUAAAUUUCUUCUAAAGCUAAAUAUUGGCGAGAGACCGAUAGCGCACAAGUAGAGUGAUCGAAAGAUGAAAAGCACUUUGGAAAGAGAGUUAAAAAGCACGUGAAAUUGUUGAAAGGGAAGCGCUUGCAAUCAGACUUGUUUAAACUGUUCGGCCGGUCUUCUGACCGGUUUACUCAGUUUGGACAGGCCAGCAUCAGUUUCGGCGGCCGGAUAAAGGCUCUGGGAAUGUGGCCUCCACUUCGGUGGAGGUGUUAUAGCCCAGGGUGUAAUACGGCCAGCCGGGACUGAGGUCCGCGCUUCGGCUAGGAUGCUGGCGUAAUGGUUGUAAGCGACCCGUCUU
rnacentral:rRNA from 1 species